AGUGAACGCUGGCGGUAGGCCUAACACAUGCAAGUCGAACGGCAGCACAGGAGAGCUUGCUCUCUGGGUGGCGAGUGGCGGACGGGUGAGGAAUACAUCGGAAUCUACCUUUUCGUGGGGGAUAACGUAGGGAAACUUACGCUAAUACCGCAUACGUCCUUCGGGUGAAAGCAGGGGACCUUCGGGCCUUGCGCGGAUAGAUGAGCCGAUGUCGGAUUAGCUAGUUGGCGGGGUAAAGGCCCACCAAGGCGACGAUCCGUAGCUGGUCGGAGAGGAUGAUCAGCCACACUGGAACUGAGACACGGUCAGACUCCUACGGGAGGCAGCAGUGGGGAAUAUUGGACAAUGGGCGCAAGCCUGAUCCAGCCAUACCGCGUGGGUGAAGAAGGCCUUCGGGUUGUAAAGCCCUUUUGUUGGGAAAGAAAAGCAACCAGUUAAUACCUGGUUGUUCUGACGGUACCCAAAGAAUAAGCACCGGCUAACUUCGUGCCAGCCGCCGCAGUAA
rnacentral:rRNA from 1 species